rnacentral:lncRNA from 1 species
CUUUUAUUUUUCUAACAUUACCGAGUUUCAAAAAGGUACGUUCCAUUAUUACGUCUUCUAGUUUUGUUAUUGUUAUAUUCUAUGUUCGAUUAUUCAAUUUUACCACCCAUAUACACACACACACACACACACACACACACACACACACACACACACACACACACACACACACACACACACACACACACACACACACGUACACGCUCACGUACAUACACACACGACCCUCCAUAAAUCCCAAAUUUUAUUUUGGUACUUAUGGGAGCAACUGUCUUCGAAGACAUAUUGCUAUUCAAUGCUCGAAAUGAGGAGUAGAUAGACAGCCUACAACUGAUGAAGGGUUGUUAUUUGUGUUACUUGUUCUGUUUUCCAUUUGUUUCUCUCGUUGUUUGUGUAUUGAAAUCAUUUGAUUUCGUAUUUUAUGCUGUUUGCUGUUGGUGACGACCUGUACCCAUAUAUGCAUGUGUAUAUAUAUAUAUAUAUAUAUAUAUAUAUAUAUAUAUACGACAGGCUUCUUUCAGCUUUCAUCUACUAAACACACUCACAAGUCUGUGGUCGGCCCGAGGCUAUAGUAGAAGACACUUGCCCAAGGUGCCACGCAGUGAGACUGAACCCGGAAUCAUGUGGUUGGGAAGCAAGUUUCUUACCACACAGCUACGCCUCCGCCUGAAUGGUCAUUUUAUUAUUAUUAUUAUUAUUAUUAUUAUUAUUAUUAUUAUUAUUAUUAUUAUUAUUAUUAUUAUUAUUUUGACCUUCCCGAAAUAUUACAAUGAAUUUAGACCACUUUAUGUAAGAUAGAAAUUAACUAGCAGAAUCUAGUUGAAUCUCAGCUUCUUAACCAGAUGUGUUCGUGUUGGUGUGCCUGGUUAAAAUGGUUUGGCACCAGCCAGCUUUAAGGAGCAACAGUCACCGUAGUACUGGUAAAAAAAUGCAGAAGACAGCUCGUCUGCGCUGGGAGCCAGAGGCUGGACUGUUAUGGCGUGCAAUAAAAAGUUGUGGUUGUUGCUAUUGUUACAACACCAAUUGUGAUCGUUGGUACCGUCGUUAUUGCGAUUGUUGCUAUUGUUGUAUUUGCUACUAUUGUUUAUGUUAAUGUCGCUACCGUUUCCGUUGCUACUGUUCUCGAUGCUGAUAGUAUUGUUGCUAUCGAUAGUACCAAUGUUGCUCUUGCUAUCAUUGUUGUUGCUAUCGUUUUUGUGCUCUUGUUUUUUUUUGCGAUUGUUAUCGCUGUCGCUGUUGUUUAUGAUGUUGUUGCUGCUAAUUGUUCUAAGAGCUGCUGUUGCUAUCGUUGUUGACAUUACUUGUAAGCGCGUUUGUUGUUGCCUGUGCUAUUGUCGGGCUUGUUGAAGCCACUGUUGUGGUUGUUGGUGAUAAUGAUGGUGGUGCUAGUGGUAGUGGCGGCGGCGGAGGCGCUUUGUUGUCGUUGUUGUUUUUCCUUUUGAUGUUUCUAUUGUUGUUGUUGUUGUGAGGAUUCUGCCCUUUCAUGUUUUUCUUAAGAUUGUUUGUGUAGAUGUCGCUGUUAUGAUUUUUCCUCGUUAUUUGUUGUUGCUGUAAAUCUCCUUGAAGUCGUUAUGUUUUUUUUUAUUCCGGCUGUUGUUUGUGUUGUUAUCGUUGUUGUUGUUGUUGUUGUUGUUGUUGUUGUUCCUAAACUAACCAACGGCCCCUCCUCACUCAAACACAAACUAGGUCUAUUUCGCUUUCUUCUCAUCCCCUUUCUCAAUUCACUUUAUAAACAUCAUCACCAUCACCAUCAUCAUCACUUCCGCAACAACUAUCACAACAACCACCAAUAUCUCCACUACCACAAUCACCACCAUCAUCAUCAACAUCACUGCCACAAUAACCAUUACAUCUAUCACUAUCACCACCAUAACUAUUAUCAUCAUCAUCAUCAUAAACAUCAUGACAUGUUUAUACAUUAUAUAUAUUUUAUCUAUAUUUUUAUCAUGAAUUUAUUAUUAUUAUUAUUAUUAUUAUUAUUAUUAUUAUUAUUAUUAUUAUUAUUAUUAUUAUUAUUGUUAUUAUUAUUAUUAAUUGAAGGCGGCGAGCCGGUACAAUCGGUAACACGCGAGGCAAAAUGCUUAUCCCCAUUCCUUUUGCCUUUGCGCUCUGUGUUCAAAUUCUGCUAAAAUCUGACUUUCUGAUUCGAUAAAAUAUGUACCAGUUGGACACUGAGGUCGUUGUAAUCGACUUACAAUCUCCCCCAAGAUUGCAGGCCUUGUGCCGAAAUUUGAUACCAUAUUAAUAGUUAUAUUCAUAAAAUAUAUUUCCCAUUUAAUAAUGAAACACGUGUAACACAGAAUUAAAAUGGUACUUCUUACUCUGCAAAUAUAAUUCACCAGGUAUCUCAACUUACAUGUAUGAUGUACUCAUUUAAAAUAUUAUCUAUUAAAGGCACAAUGCCUGAAAUUUCGGUAGACGGGUUAUAGUCGAUUACAUCGACCCCAGUGUUUCACUGGUACUUAAUUUAUCGACUCCGAAAGGAUGAAAGGCAAAGUCAACCUUGGCGGAAUUUGAACUCAGAACAUAAAGAUGGACGAAAUGCUGUUAAGCAUUGUUUCCGGCAUGCUAACGAUUCUGCCAGUUCGCCGCCUUAUUUUCUCUUGUAAAAUAAAACAUCUCCAUACUUGAAUAUUCUGUUAUUGGAAUAUAAUACGUAUGUGUGUGAUGCAUAUAUAAUACAAAAUUACAUUAAAAAUACAAAAAUAAAACCGGAAGAGUAAAAAGGAAAAGAAAAACAAACAAAACAAAAAUACAUUAACUCAACGGAACCUACUGAAGCAAGCCAACACGCGCGCGGCGUUAGCACAGGCGAUGGAGAGACUAAGGAGUUAGAACAGCCAAGCACCCACACGAGCAUUACCUGGCCUCUACAAAUAUACAUUUGAUUGCUAGAAUACACAGACAUGCUUAACGAGGACAUAGCUUCGUUUAUAAUCCCUAUAUAUAUAUAUAUAUAUUGGACUUUCUUCAGUUUCUGAAGAGGAGCGUGGCUCGAAACGUUAAACCAUCUUACUUUUCUUCCCGUAGCGUCUGCUAAUACUUUACAUGUACCAUGUCCUCACGUUGUUGUUUGUGUGUGUGUGUUUGUGUGUGUGUGUGUGUGUGUGUGUGUGUGUGUGUGUGUGUGUGUGUGUGUGUGUGUGUGUGUGUGUGUGUGUGUGUAAAGUAAACAGAAAUAUAUAAACAGAAACAUUUCUGUUUACUUUAAAUUUGAUUCCAGAUAAUCUCAUGUUUAUCUUUGUCUUUACCUAUAACCUAUGAGCAUAAUAUGCUUACAUACGUUUGUCCAGGGUUAACACAUGCUAUUUCUAGCAUGUAUAAUUGCCUGUUAAAGGGUAGCUUUCUUUUGUGUUUUAAAUGUACACUAUUUUAAAAUAUGAAUAUGUUGUCUAUUGACUAUUUAUACAUGCUAGGCCACUAGUGGUGAUAUUUAUAACGAAUAUUCGCUACCCUAUAUAUGUAUCUUAUGAAUAUGUUCUUAGCAUUCUCGAAGAUUCAGCUCGGCAUUAUAUUUAUUGCCGACAGUAGAUUCGCCUGCGCGCGGAAUUUUGAAAAAUUAUAACAUAUAAUGACAGGACACGUGUUAUCUUUCUCUGAAUUAUAAGUUAGUUAUUGAGGCCGGUUACUGACGAGAAUUCGCCUGGCGGAUAAUAUUGUUUUGCUAAAUUACCUAUUAAAGGAUGGAAAAUAAUUUUAUUUGCUAAAGAAAUUCGAAACCAUGGUAUAACCGCUAAUAAAAAAUAACAAAGUAAAAGUUUUUAUUUUUCAUUUACUUCGAAAAUUGCUAUUAAAUCGUGGUUUUGGCCGUGUAGACUGCUAUUUCUAGCAUGUAAAAAUUACUUGUUAAAGGGUAGUUUUCUUUUGUGUUUAAAUGUACACUAUCUUAAAAUAUGAAUAUGUUGUCUAUUGACUAUUUAUACAUGCUAGGCCACUAGUGGUGAUAUUUAUAACGAAUAUUCACUACCCUAUAUAUGUAUCUUAUACAUAUAUAUAUAUAUAUAUAUAUAUAUAUAUAUAUAUAUAUAUAUAUAUAUAUAUAUAUAUAUAUAUAUAUUACGCAAAGAUGAAAAUAACACUGACAUCUCAUUUUAAUAGAUAUAUUUACUAAAAUUACAUAAAAAUAUCUUGAAAUACUAAAGAGUAAAUUUAUCCAAUAAAAUUGCCAUUGGCUUCAACCACGGCCUCCAAACGACUUCGGAAUCUCCUGCAACUCUUCUCCUUGUUUAAGAUGGUGAAUGCUGCCAUAAUCCUUGCCUUCGGUUCAUCUUUGGUGUUACAAAGUGUUUUUUGGUCUCUCACUCAACUGCGCCCCACACAUGAUAAUCAAGGGGAUUGCUCUCUAGGGAGUUAGGUGGCCAUAUGUUAGGGAUGGUGUGGUCGCAGAAAUUGUCUGACAGCCAUGACUGGGUUCUCCUACUUGUGUCGUAUGAUGCAGAGUUCUGUUGCCAGACAUAGGGUGUUGCAGCAGCCACCCUCUUGACCCAGAGAAGCAUUACCUCCUCCAGGCACUUGAUGUAAGCCUCUGUGUUGAAUCUGAGGCCGUGUAGGAAGAUGAAUAGAAGCAUAAUGUCACCAUCACUAGUGAUCACUCCAAACACUAUGAUGUUGACUAGAUGUUUGAUUUUUAUCACUCUCGGUACAUGUCCUUAGAUUGCUCUGUCCAGAUUGACACCCAAACAUUGAAAUGUUCGUACUGGAGCUUCCGGCGUGACUGCCAAGCAGUACAGCAUGUCGUUUCCAAAUUUCUGACAGAGUGAAUUGCGUCAUGGUACCGUUUUCCUCACAGACAGUGGCCAACCGACCCUAGUAUACUGUGUAGUCGACAAAAUCAAAAGCAACUAAUGCGCAUGCGCAAAUUAAAAAUAUAAAAUGGUGACAAUUUACCCAUCGUACUAAUAUGUAAGAAAUUUCGUCCUAACGAAAUCCGGACACACUGUGGGGUUCUUUUAUAUCUAACAUGGUUCGAAUCGUGAUGAUCCGAAGCAACUGUUCAUCUAGUGGCCGGAUUGAAACAUGUGUAGGCAUCUUUUUUUUAUUAUUUCUUAUGUUUCUGUUACUUUAAUUAUUUGAUUAUUUCUUAUGAUUCUCUUACUUUAAAUUUUAUUUGUAUUACAUUAUUUGAUAUGUAUUCAUCGUGAUACAAAUAAAAUUAAACAAGUAUCCACUAUAUUUCUUCUCCUUUUUCUUAUAUUUACUUAACGCUAUAUAUAUAUAUAUAUAUAUAUAUAUAUAAUGCGUUUCAAAUUAUUAACGACGUAACAUUUUAAAUUUUAUUUGAAAACUACUUGUGAGAAUUUAACGAAUUUUUUACAGAAUGAUAACAACAUUUAUAUGCGCAUGGUGUGUAAAAAUGUGAGGUUCCAUAAACCAACAUGGAAACUAGGCCAUUUACCAAAUUUUCGUAAACUUUCAGUUUCAAAUUAUUAGCGAGGUGUAAUUAAAACUCAUGUAAAGAAGAAUAUACCAAUUUGUUUGAUGUGCAUACUGAAAUGAAUACAUACAGUCGUAAACAUGGAGGAAAUAGAAAUAAACAAAUUAACAGCGUUCAAACAUGAUAGGUGAGCUGGUUAGUAAGGUAUAUAUGAGCGUUUGUUUGAAAUAAGUUGAAAAGGUGGUGGUCCAUUGAACAUGCCAAUUUCUGGAUCUCUGAUGUUAUACCAUGAGAUACAUCUAAUAUUGCCUGCCACCCUUACUCGUAAAUUGGCGUCCAUUUUCGUAAAUUCGUCGCUUUAGAGUACCCCACAAGAUUUUUUAUUGGGUUUACGUCGGAGGAACAGGCAGGCCACUUCAUCUUCCGAGGUCAACAGAAGCUUAAUUGUUGCAGACACUUUGUAGUUUUCUUCGCUGAGUGCGUAUUAUCUUGCAUAAAUAUUAUGGUUGUCUUGGAGGUGAUUCUUUGCAUUUUUAACCAAGGUUCAAGGUGUUCCUUCAGGAAAGCUAUGUAAGCAUCUUCAGUCAUUUUAACACCGUCAGGCACUUUCCAAAGACCAACCAUAGCUCCAAUAACACCUGCCCAAAUCAUGAUGCCUCCUCCUGCUCUCAAGCAUUGAUGAUGAUCUCCUUCAUUUACAACCCAACCCUUGCUCCAGCCAUCAGUCCAUCAAGAGUAGCACGAGUUUCGUUCGUAAACAAAACUUUUGAAAAAUCAACCUUCAUGUUAUCAUCUGCCCAUUUCAGACGAUUUUGUAUGUGUAUUUUGUUUAAAGGAAGCCUUUUAACUGAUGUCAUUAGUUUGCCGACCUUUUUCAGAAGACAACAUCGGGUAGUUCUGAACACAGUUGUUUCACUAAUGCACUUGAAAAGUUCUCCACUUGUAAGACCUGGGUUCUUCACAGCUUCACGCUUCAUUCGUGGCAGAGAACAUUGAGAAACAGCCCUCGACUGAUUCUCGUCGGCUAUCAUACGUAUCUAUGUAGAAGCUGCAACAAUUUAUUUUUUCAUAGUUUUGCGAUAACUUCCAAUUAUUUUAGAUAUUUCUAAUGUUGAUUUACCUUCUGCAAGUAAUAACAGAAUAACAGAUUUCUCUGAAGCAGUUAAGUCACUUUUACGACCUAUAAUUACACAAUUAUCAGACCACUCGCUAAUAAUUUGGAACACUGAAAGUUCGUGGAAAUCAUGCAAAUGGUCGCCGUUUGUUUACAUAUGUGCAAAACGUCACGUUUUUUACACACUAAGCGCAUAUAACUGUUGCUAUUAUUCUAUGGAAAUUUUGUUAAAUUCCAACGUGUAGUUUCUACAAAAGAUAAAAGAAAGUUACAUCAUUAAUAAUCUGAAAUGCAGUGCAUAUAUAUAUGUAUAUAUAUAUAUAUAUAUAUAUAUAUAUAUAUAUAUAUAUAUAUAUGUAUAUAUAUAUAUAUAUAUCCUAUUGGUGUUUUCAUUAUUAAUCAGUAGAAAUUAGUGUGCAUUGGCUCUUAACAAUUUUCUCUUCUCUCUCUCUCUCUCUCUCUCUCUCCAUAUAUAUAUAUUUAUAUACACGCGCGCGCACACACACACACACAAUAUAUAUAUAUAUAUAUAUAUAUAUAUAUAUAUAUAUAUAUAUAUAUAUAUAUAUAAGAGAGAGAGAGAGAGAGAGAGAGAGAGAGAGAGAGAGAGAGAGAGAUAGAUAGAUAGAUAGAUAGAUAGAUAGAUAGAUAGAUAUGUUUCUUUAUUAGCCAAACAGGGCUGCACACAGAUAGAACAAAUUACAAGGUAGAGCUUUUCUUUUGAAGAUUAAAAAAAAAGGGGGGGAGUUUCGAUCAAAAGGGAUCGUAAAAGGAGAGAAAGAGGACAAAAAAGGGGGGUUAAAAAAAGGGGGGAGAGGAAAAUAAUUGAUCAAUAGGGAUCGUUAUCACAGAAAUGUCAAUAUGAAGUGUAAAGGGGAGGACAGGUGAGGUUUACCCGUGGAAAGAAAAGCCUACGGAAAAGACCACGGUAACCUCGGUCAGUGAAGUCACAUGUUAUAUUUCUUUCUUUUAUUAUUUUUUUUUUUUUGCAAAUAAGCAACUCUCUGUAUUAAUUUUUAUGGUUCAUAGAAUCAUAGUCAAGGUGGCUUCGUCAUUCAUACGUGCCAUCCUUGUUACAUUCACCCAUCUUUUUUUAAAACAUUCACUAGACAAAACUUGCCUCUCUACUCUCACUUUCCUCCUCAAGUGAUACUUGAAGAAGUUGAUGAGAGAUUGACCAGAGAGGAAAGUGUUUGUCUCUAAUCCUUUCAGGCGCGUCCACCAGAUACAUUCUUUCGCCAUAGCCACAAGUAUGAUAAAAAUAGCUCUUCCUUCCCGUUUGAAGGAAGGAGGCGUGACGAUAUUAACGAUAGACUCGGCUGAUAAACCGACACGUCCCACACGUGACAGCAGUCGUUCGACAUAAGCCCACAGGUGGGAAAUUGCUGGACACUGCACGAUUGCGUGCAGAGCGGUUUCGUCGCUCUGCCCGCAUCUCGGGCAGGUCGGCCCCGUGUUUCUCGAGCCAUGCCUAUAGAGCUUAUCCCGAACGGGUAGCGCUUCUCGGUAGCACCGCCAGGCCAGGGAUCUCUGGAAGUUGUCCAUAGGUCCCGGGCCGAAAGUCGUUUGAAACAGGCGGGUCAGGUAUUCCUCGUCGACGCCCAGGUUUGCACCGAGAUCGUCGUCGUACCUCCCCUCCACUAAGAUAGAUAGAUAGAUAGAUAUUAUCAAAACAUUGGCAUAGAGUACCGAUAAGUUUAUGACAUUCCACUUUGAAGGCUACCUCCAUACAAUUCAAGAACAAGCAAUCCACACCAAAUACCUGCAGUAUUCAAAGCAAAAGGCACUGGCCGACAACAAAUGUAGGGUUUGCAAACCCAAAGCUGAAGACACCAGCCAAAGUUAUUGCUAACUGCGAAAGAUUGUCUUCUAGACACCAUCUUCACAUGAGGCAUUGAGCGGAGAUGAGAACAGUUUGGAACGGGAUGAGAAAAAUAAAAACUUCCAUCACGAACUUGACUAUAUUGACUCCGAUGGCCGAUGAGUCAAGAGAGUCUUGGUGAAACUUGAAAAUAAAAAUAACCACCAAGUCAAAACACAAUCGACCAGAUAUUAUUGUGUGGGACCACACACACACACACAAAAUACUAUAUUGUAGAAUUUUAAUCGGCAGCAAAUGAAAAGUGCUGAAUUAACUUCCGAAAAUAUGUUGUCUAUUGACUUUUAUAGAUGCUGGUAGUGAAAUUUCUAAAAUUUUGCUAUCCUAUGUUAAUUUAUGAAUAUGAUUUUAGUCAUUUCGGAAGUUAAUUCGGCACUUUUCACUCACCAACGAUCGAAACCGCGCUUGCGCGGUGAAUUUGAAAAAUUAUAAUAUAUAAUGAUGAGACACGUGCUAUUCUGUCUCUAAAUUAUAUGUUAGUGUUUUGGUGUAGCCACUGAUGAGAACUUCGCCUAGCAAAUUAUUUUAUUUGCUAAUUAGAGUUCGAAACCUAGGUAUGGCUGUAAAAAAAAAGGUAAAAGUUCAUAUUGUUCAUUCCCUUCGAAAUUGCUCUUAAAUGUGGUUUUGGAUGUUUUGACUGCUCCUUCUAGCAUGUAAGGCUGCCUGUUAAAGGUCGCCUCUUUUGUGUUUAAAUGUACACUAAUAUAUAUAUAUAUCGUUAAUCCAAGCAUGAAAACACAAAGGGAAAACACAACAACGCGAGGACGUGGAACAAGUGCUUUUUGGACGCUCAGGAAAGGAAAGAAAGAAGGACGAUUUAACAUUUCGAGCUGAGCUCUUCGUCACAAACAUAGAAAAAGGAAAGAUCCAAGGAAGGGAAGACGGAGGGUAAAAAUCGCCAAGAUACACACGCGGUCACAUAUUGAAUGACCCUUUUUUGUUCUCUUAUGUAUAUAUGUAUGUAUGUAUGUAUGUAUGUAUAUAACAAGAGGUUCUUUCACUUUCCGUCUGCCAAAUCCACUCACAAGGCUUUGAUCGGCCCGAGACUAUAGUAAAAGACACUUGCCCAAGGUGUCGCGCAGUGGAACUGAACCCGGAACCAUGUGGCUGAGCAGCAAGCAUCUUACCACACAGUUACACCUGUGCCUGUAUUUACAAAUUUGUUGGAAAAUAGCUGUUGCUCUUAGUAUUUCGAACCAUUUUAGUACUUUCUGUGCAUAAAUUGUGUCCGUAUGGUAAAUUUUGCAUAUUUUGUGAAAAUGUGCCAGUCAACAGAUCUGGUUGCUAUAUUACUAUCUCACCAAUAAUAACAUGGAAUAGCACAAAGUUGUAAUUAUAAGACUGCUAUAUAGACAGUUUCUUUGUUCACUGAUGAGAUUGAAUUAGCAAUCGAAACAAAACACCAAGUCUACAGUAAACUGAUAUCGUUUUAAUAUUAAUAUUCGUACGCACUAUGGCAUGGCAUAUUUUGAUUGUGUAUGUGUGUGUGCGCAUGUGUAUGUGUGUGUGUAUGUGUAGAUGUGUGUGUGUGUGUGUAUUAGGUUAGAUUUCAUUAAGCGCUUCUUUAGAAUAGUCAGCACUGUGACUAAUAAAGAUAUAUUGAAAGAUGUAUUGGGGAAAAUAUAUGUAGGCGCGCGCGCGCGUGUAUGUGUGCGUGUGCGUGCGUGUGUGUGUGUGUGUGUGAAUGUGUGUGUGACACACAGAGACGUAUAUGGGGGAAGGUAUAUGUGUGUGUGUACGUGUAUACACGCACACUUCCAGAAAUUAGAGAGAGAGAGAAAUAACAAGAGAUAAAGAAAUAGACAGACAACCAGGUAGACAGACAGACAGACAGAGACCGAGGUAUAUUAAAAUAUAUUAAUUGCUUUACAUCAUCUUCAUAUUUGCUUUUCUAAUCUUCGGAAGGAACCUCUAUGCAGUCACUUGUACUGCUAGAAAUAGCAGCAAAAUCUGGAGUUAAACAAUAACAGCAACAGCACUACCACCACCACAACCACCACCAUCACCACCACUCCCAUCAUUAUCUCUACUAUUACAAUGACCAUUGCUAUCAUCAUUAUCAUCAUUACCGUUACCAAUACCACGCCAACUAGCACUGCAACUACAACCACAACCACUACCACUUACCACUUACCACUACUACCAUUAUAAACACGACCAUUACUAUCGCUAUCCCAACCACUACCAUCACUACUUACUACUACUACUACUACUACUACUACUACUACUACUACUACUACUACUACUAAUACUACUACUACUAUCAUCGCCACCAUCAUAAUUACCGUAACCACUAAUACAACAGCCAGCAUCAUCAUUACCUCUUUAACCACCACCACUGCUACCACAACCACCACCACCACUACCACCACCACGACUACUAACACCACUACUACUAUUACUAUCAACCUGCAUCACGUCCAAACCUCAUUCACUCUUCCUAUCCCCUCUCUCUCUCUCACUCACUCUAUCACUCUCCACUCACCGCCACCACCGCUACUACCAUUGUAUUUCUCUGCAGUACCUCUUCUUCUUCUUCUUCUUCUUCUUCUUCUUCUUCUUCUUCUUCUUCUUCUUCUUCUUCUUCUUCUUCUUCUUCUUCUUCUUCUUCUUCUUCUUCUUCUUCUUCUUCUUCCUCCUCCUUCUCCUUCUCUUGUUCCUCCUCCUCCUCAUGUGGUCACCUUUCUCCCACCCACCCCCAACUUCCACCACAUCACCUCCCCCCACACACACACGCACACACACGUUUUCCUUCCGCUCCUCCUUAUAUAGGCCAUAUGAAAGGUUUCACUUCUAUGCAUCCAUAGCAAGCUGAAGCCUCACACUUGUCAACGGUUCCACAUUUCACCGUCCCAAGCAUUUUACUACCAGGGAGACAUCGUCUUUAUGUGGCGGCGCUGGCGUGGCUGGUGGCAGUGAUUGUAGUGAAAGACUUGGUGGUUUGUGGUGGGGGGGGGUAGUUGUGGUGGUGGUGGUGGGGGUGGUAGUGGGGUGGUGAUGGGGGUUAGUGAUUGUGUUGGCCGUGGUAGUGAUGUUGAUGUAGCAAUGAUGGUGAUCAUUGUAGUGUUAUGGUGGUGGUGGCGGCGGCGGCGGCGGUGGUGGUUACAAUGUUGCAGUUGUAGUGUGCUGAUGGUGAUGGUUAUUGUGGUAGCGUCAUGGUGGUGGUGGUGGUGGUGGUGGUGGUUGUGGUGGUGGUGGUGGUGGUGGUGGUGGUGGUGGUGAUGGUGGUAGUGAUGUUAUUGUUGGUGGCGGUGGUGGUGGUUAUCUCAUCAUCUACUUUCUACUUCAUAUAUAAAGUUGCUUUUUCUCUUUUUAUUUAUUGUUAUUAUUUAAAUUUUUUUUUCUUUUUGCAACUCCCUAGGGUGUGAUUUCGCUGCUGCUUUUAACGUGUCGAGUAGCCACAUGCAUUGAUAACGCUUUUGAUUAUUUUUCACUAAUUCAUACAUACAUAUAAGCACAUACGUACACAUAUAUGCAUGCAUACAUACACACAUACGAGUACAUUUACAUGCAUAUACACACAAACACACAAAUACAUGCAUAUAUACAUGCAUAUGGAGAUAACAGACACAUACAUAGGUACAUACAUAUACACACGUAUACCCACACAUACAUACAGAGAGGUUACACAGGUUAUUUAUAAACAAAGACAACCAAACGUAAUGUUACAUGACAUUUGCCAAAUUUAAACUUUUUCAUUUCUCUUUCAGAUAUAUCAACAACCGUCAUCACGGUAAAUUCCACUUUGACGCUGAGCUUGUGACUGUAGCUGUGUCAACAACAGUGAUUUGGAGAUCGCCAGCUCUGAAGUGUGGUUGGGUUCUUUGUGUUAGGAGUCAAAAAAGAGGCGAGUCCUCUCAAUGGGGACGUGUUAUCCUUGGUCAAAGAGAUUUUCAGCGAUUACACGUCGUAAGGACGGCCGGGUUUUUCCAUCAACGACAACCCCAGCGAGUUGAUGUUGGCCAUCACCAAGCAGCUCAAGAUGUGUGGCGCACGAUGUUACUAUCCUACGUAAUGAGGAGAAGGCAGUUUAUGCCGGGCAAGACUAAGGCGAAUUGAUACAAAACCUAUGAACUGUUGUGUCUAGGAAAUCGUCAGUAAGAGGACUCAGCCACCGGUGGCCCCUGCAGUUUCAAGGACUCACUAAAUCUGUGGGAUGUUGUAGACGGCACGAACAGCUGUCACAUGAGACUGGCAUGUAGUCGUCCACCACGGCUACAUCAUUAGGCCUGAUGUUUUAUGCCUUAUUUCUUUGAUGUUAUCUUGUUCAAAGCGCUACUGUUUUCCUGGGAUUUUUGUAUACUUUUCCCUCGUAUUUUGUUUUAUAAUCAACUACCUAGUGCUCGC